rnacentral:rRNA from 1 species
UACAGAGGUGGCAAGCGUUGUUCGGAAUUACUGGGCGUAAGGGCGCGUAGGCGGUCUUGCAAGUCCUGUGUGAAAUCCCUCGGCUCAACUGAGGAACUGCACAGGAAACUGCUUGGCUUGAGUUCGGGAGAGGGAAGCGGAAUUCCGGGUGUAGCGGUGAAAUGCGUAGAUAUCCGGAGGAACACCGGUGGCGAAGGCGGCUUCCUGGACCGACACUGACGCUGAGGCGCGAAAGCUAGGGGAGCAAACGGG